rnacentral:rRNA from 1 species
AUUGAACGCUGGCGGCAGGCCUAACACAUGCAAGUCGAGCGAGCGGCGGACGGGUGAGGAAUGUAUGGGGACUGCCCGAUAGAGGGGGAUAACUACUGGAAAAGGUGGCUAAUACCGCAUACUAUCGGAUAACCCAUAUGGGAUUAGCGAGUAGGUGGGGUAAAGGCUCACCUAGGCGACGAUCUCUAGCUGGUCUGAGAGGAUGACCAGCGACACUGGGCCUAGGAAACGGCCCAGACGCCUACGGAGGUAGAGGUGGGGAAUAUUGCACAAUAGGCGAGAGCCUGAUGCAGCCAUGCCGCGUGUAUGAAGAAGGCCUUAGAGUUGUAAAGUACUUUCAGCGGGGAGGCGUUACCCGCAGAAGAAGAACCGGCUAACUCCGUGCCAGCAGCCGCGGUAAUUC